AUGUGGGAGGACGUGCUAGCCUCAUUCGAAGGCGGAAAGCCAGGGAGCAGGAUCCUGAUGACGAGCCAAGCAAACAUGUGCGUCAGGGCGCUCGGCGCCGGGACAAGGAUCGUGCUGGACGGGAUCGGCGCCGCCGACCUCGCGCUGGUGCUGAAGCAAACGGCGUUCGGGGACGAGCAUGCAGAGACCCCGCUCCUCGACGAUGUUAUCCAAAGCGUCGCGGUGUGUCUCAGGGGCUCACCGUCGGCAGCGAAAGCUGCCGUCGGCAAGCUGACAGACAAGAGGAGCAAGAGCGGCUGGAAGGGCCUCUUAAAGCCGGGAUCAGGACACUCCGGCGCCGGCGAUGCAUGGAGCUACUGGAAUCUGUCGCCGCAGCUGAGAUCUUGCUUGGGAUUCUGCAGCAUGUUCCCGGACAAGUGGGAGUUCGAGCCUGAAACGCUCGUCAAGAUGUGGAUAGCAAAUGGCAUCAUCCGCGGCGACGACAACGGGAAUGUGGAGAUAGGGAAAAAGUACAUUAGAGAUCUACAGGCGAGGUCCUUGUUCAAAUCCAUCAAGGAAGACGGACGAACCUACUUUGUCCUUCCUGAGCUGGUCCAUUCGAUGCUCCUGUCACUGCCCACGAAGUAUUUCCACAGGUUUAGCCAUGAGGAUCUUACCAGCAGCCCUACAAUAGUCCCGGAAAGUGUUCGGCACCUAUCCCUGAUCGGUGGAGGAUGCCAUGCCCUGGCUAAGCUUAAGGAGAUGGAAAACCCUGUGCUUAACAAGUUGAAGACGUUAUUAGUCUUCGAGGGCUCCGCAAUUGACAAGGAAGUAACCGAGCAACUCAAGGCCGUCACUAUGCUGGACUUGGCUGGCACACAGAUCGUCGAUCUGCCAAAAGGCAUCGGCAAGUGUAAACAUCUGCGGUACCUAGGCCUCCCGGAUACCAUCAGGAGCCUUCCUGCCGCCGUUACAAAGCUGUUGCAUCUGCAGACUCUGUCCCUGGGCAAGAAAUGCACGCUUGAUCAGGGCUUCCCAGCUCAUGGCAUGUGCAGCUUGAUCAAUCUGAGGCACCUCGACAUGCCCGUCAAGUACAUUGGCAUGACAAGUCACCUUGGAAGGCUGAAGCAACUCCAGGGGUCAAUCGAGUUGUGCGCUGACAAGGGACAGAGGCAUGUCAUCCUCCAAGAGCUUGCCGGAAUGAACUCCCUCCACGGCACCAUCACCGUGAAGGGGCUUCACGCGGUCGCCAGAAAGGAAGAAGCUCAGAAAGCCCGCCUUGAAAAGAAAGAGCAUGCUAAGGUCCUAAAGUUUGAAUGGUCGGGGGAACGAGCUUGCUCCAUCCGCUCACAGGAGGAAGUUUUUGAGGGGCUCCGGCCACCCCGUAACAUACAAGAGCUGCACAUCCGCAGGUACCAGGGCACAUCAUCGCCUAGCUGGCUGGAGGGCAACCACCUAAAAAACUUGAGUCAGCUGCAUCUCAUAAACUGCCCCAAUUGCAAGGUGCUUCCAUGUCUUAACCAGCUGCCUGACCUCAGGGUUCUGCACAUCAAAGAGAUGCGCUCCGUCGGUCGGAUUGACCGCAUGCUCUUGGGCGGCAGAGGCGGGGUUCUCCGGUCGCUGCAGAAACUUGAGCUGGAUGAUAUGCCCAAUCUGGCCGAGUGGAGCGUCGAUUCCACCGGCGACGCGUUCCCUCGCCUCCAAGAGGUACACAUCCUUAACUGCCCCAAACUGAAGCACCUGCCACGGAUCCCAUCCACCGUCAUCAACUUGAAGAUAGAGCACGAAAACUCUUACCUGCACAUGUACCCCUGCUCGAGGUCGACGUCGGCCUCUUUUGUUUUGGAAAUCCACGGGGAGGCGGUGGAGCGGCUGCAGCAAGAUUUCCUCCUCCAGGAUCCCGCCAGGGAUAACCACGCCCUGAGCAUUAAGAGCUACGCAGGGCCCGGUGAAGUAAGCAUCAACCUUCUCUCUUCUGCCAGAAGCCUUUCGUUGAGCCGAUGCGUCGUGACGGAUCGGCAGCUUGAGAUGUUCUUCCAGAAACUGCAGUCCCUCGAGAUGCUGGAGAUCUCUGAUUGCACCGAGUUCCGCGCGUUCCCGGACGACGCCGUACCAGCGACGCUGAAAUCUCUUAGGUUGAAAGGAUGCCACCCCACGCUUAUGGAGGAGCUACAUGAUAGGACAAGCCCUACGUGGGCAAGGAUUAACUCAAUCCCCAGAGUCAACAUUAUUGACUGA
rnacentral:rRNA from 1 species